UGCAUUGAAGAGCUGAAGCAAUGUAAGUUCAGCUUAUUCUGAAAUAAUGAGCACAAAACAGGUUUGGUUUGCAUCCUUUUUAUUCACUGCUGUUGACUUUUUUAGAGUGGACCUUCAGCAAUUAGUGGAAACACUAGAAGACCAGGAGCUUUAAGAUAACUUGGAGGUUAUCCAAGACUUGCAGCAGGUCAUUGUGCAGCUCCAGGAUGAAAGCUCUGGCAUUGCAGCCUCUAUUGAGACUAUGACUGAAGUGUCUGCAUCCACUCCAGAGUCUGAAGAGGUGAAAUUUUAUGUGGUGUACUGUUGGGUCUGUCAGUCUUUAAGGUAAUUGAUUAAAGGGAGAAUUACAUUUU